UUCGCCAGGGAACAACGAGCCCCAGCUUAAAACCCAAAGGACUUGGCGGUGCUUUAGACCCCCCUAGAGGAGCCUGUUCUAGAAUCGAUAUUCCCCGUUCAACCUCACCCCCUCUUGUUUUUCCCGUCUAUAUACCGCCGUCGUCAGCUUACCCUGUGAAGGGCUAAUAGUAAGCAAAAUUGGUAAAACCUAAAACGUCAGGUCAAGGUGUAGCAUACGAGGGGGGAAGAAAUGGGCUACAUUUGCUGUUCCAGCAAAAACGAACGAUGCACUGAAAUGAGCAUCUGAAGGAGGAUUUAGCAGUAAGGGGAGAAUAGAGCGCCCCCCUGAAAAUGGCCCUGAAGCGCGCACACACCGCCCGUCACUCUCCCCAAAAACCUAAAAAAUAUAAAUAAUGAGACAACCAAACAAAGGGGAGGCAAGUCGUAACAUGGUAAGUGUACCGGAAGGUGUACUUGGAUAACCC
rnacentral:rRNA from 1 species